rnacentral:rRNA from 1 species
GAUGAACGCUGGCGGCGUGCCUAAUACAUGCAAGUCGAGCGAACGGACGAGAAGCUUGCUUCUCUGAUGUUAGCGGCGGACGGGUGAGUAACACGUGGAUAACCUACCUAUAAGACUGGGAUAACUUCGGGAAACCGUAGCUAAUACCGGAUAAUAUUUUGAACCGCAUGGUUCAAAAGUGAAAGAAGGUAUUGCUGUCACUUAUAGAUGGAUCCGCGCUGCAUUAGCUAGUUGGUAAGGUAACGGCUUACCAAGGCAACGAUGCAUAGCCGACCUGAGAGGGUGUCCGGCCACACUGGAACUUAGACACGGUCCAGACUACUACGGGAGGCAGCAGUAGAGAAUCUUCCGCAAUGGGCGAAAGCCUGACGGAGCAACGCCGCGUGAGUGAUGAAGGUCUUCGGAUCGUAAAACUCUGUUAUUAGGGAAGAACAUAUGUGUAAGUAACUGUGCACAUCUUGACGGUACCUAAUCAGAAAGCCACGGCUAACUACGUG